GAUUCUCUGGCCUCAGAAAUUUUACUUUCGUCCUGAGUUUUGCAUAAAACUUUCCAUGUACUAGCCGCUGAAUAAACAUGGCUCACGUAAUUCAAGAUUUUUAUGGAAAACAAAUGCACUUGCGGAAUCUUUUAGAUAAUCUUCUACAUCUUUCUAUAAUUUGCUCGCUAAGGGCAAGUCAAAUCCUAACCUUAGUACACCCGCUGUCACAAAGUUCUAGUACUCCAGACAUUCAUUUGCCCACUUACCCAUAAAUUCAAACUGAAUACUGUAAAAGCAAAUAAUGUAAUCAACAUCCUUAUGCUUAAAUGGAGGCAAGGUCCCAUCUUUCUUGAUUUGAAGCAAUCUUCGAAGAACGAUCUAAGCCGUACAAAAGGGAGAUGAUUCAUUUCAAGACACAAGAAAAAUGUAUGCAACA
rnacentral:misc_RNA from 1 species